AGCUUAAAGAAGUGUUCUGACCACAUUUUUUAGAGAGGGACACAUAAAGAACCUCAGACACCAGAGGUGGGCAGUUUUGUCAAGAGAGCAUCUCUUUCUAACAGUCCCUACCACGUCUCUAAGAAGUCUAAAUCCCCUGUCAUUCUUCCUCAGCCUCAGAGCAACCUGGGUUCAAGUCCCCCAGUCAUCAGGUUUUUAUUUGUUUGUGGGGAAUCUCCCAGAAAGGAGCUCCCUGCUUCUUCACUGCUCAGUCAUGACCUUGGUGUUCACCUUGAUGCUUGGGGUGCUCCUGUUCCUGAGAGGAACCAGAGCUCAGUCAGUGAUCCACAUCACCUGACGUCCCUGUGGACCCUGGCGUCCAUAUCACCGUCUCUGAAGGAUCCCCUCCAGAGCUGAGAUGAAAUAUCAGCAGAAAUGGUCACGUGAUCCUAAUGACAUCAGAAGACAAGGGCCGUCUGUGACUGAUGUGUGUGAAGGAAGAGGAGAGUAUGCAUAUGUCCCAAAUCCAUAUAUAUUUUACAAUUAAAAUUUACUUUUUACAUUUCAACUCUCAUGAAAAGGAUUUGGAGCAAAUCGAAGGUUAGCCAUGUAUCUUUACUCCUCUAACAUGACUUAUGACUUGAUGUCAGGGUCUCAAAUGUCCAUGAGGAGCAGAGCAUAGUAGAAGAAAAGACAGGGAGAGGAUCUCCGAUGGCUCUGGCUGACAGUGCCUUUUGGCUGGAAUGGAGCAGGGAUGAAAAGAAGCUGUGCUUGAAUGAGGAAGUGCAUGGAGAGCCUGAGAAUCUUAGAGAAACUGUGCUAACAUUAAGUGGAUCCUAUGCUGCAUAGAGUGAGGCUCUGUAUACUCGAUGUAAGUGCUUCCCACAGGGACAACUGACCACCCCUUCUGUUCUUGUUAUGGAACUUGUUAUUUCAAGGGCUUCGGAGGACCACCCAGUAGGUUUAUCCCACUUAGCAGGCUGUUGAAGCUUCCUCAUUCUGACUCAGUCUAGGACUGAGUGGGAUUGUGAGCCAGCUGCCCUCUGUUAGCUAAAGUGGGAGCUCACAGCUCCUUCAUCCUCAAACUUUUUCAUUUUCAGGCAGGGCUGAGUGUCUGAUGGCUAAUUUCAAUAGUAGAAAAUCUCUAAUUUUAUUUUAUUUUUAAAAAUUAUUUUAUUGAAGUCAUAUUGGCUCAUAAGUGUGUAAAUUUCAGGUGUACAUUAUUAUAUAUCAGUUUCUGUAUAGACUGUAUCGUGUUAUAGACUGCAUAGUCUAGUUUUUAUCCAUCACCAUGUGUAUGUGCCCCUUUAUCCCUUUCACUCUCCCCUCAACACACUUCCACCCUGGUAACCACUAAUCUGUUCUCCUUAUCCAUUUAUCUAUCUUCCACAUAUGGGUGAAAUCAUAUGGUGUUUGUCUUCCUCUGUCUGGCUUAUUUCACUUUGCUUAUUUCAUCAAUGUUGUUGUA